GGGUGUGAGGGUGAUCUGGCUGCAGCAUCUGUCACCCCACUGAUGGCCAGGGUUGAUCUGGCCGAUCUGACUGGCUAGGCAGCUGUCCCUGUCCUCCUUCCUAGCUCCAUAUGCAACCCUCCUCAAUCUGCACACUUAGUCAAAGAGGACGACCUUCCUGAUGAAGGAGAACCACUCUGCAGUCAAGGAAAACAAGGAGCUGUGCUCCCCUGCCACAACCUCCGCACAAGCUCUCAAGGAAAUGAACAGAGAGAGGAUGCAGAGCUGAUUUGAGGGUAAAAUAAGCAGAAACCGAUGACUGGUUAC
rnacentral:snRNA from 1 species